UACGAAGGGUGCAAGCGUUACUCGGAAUUACUGGGCGUAAAGCGUGCGUAGGUGGUUUGUUAAGUCUGUUGUGAGAGCCCCGGGCUCAACCUGGGAAUGGCAAUGGAUACUGGCAAGCUAGAGUGCGGUAGAGGGUAGUGGAAUUCCCGGUGUAGCGGUGAAAUGCGCAGAUAUCAGGAGGAACACCGGUGGCGAAGGCGCUCCCUGGACAAUAGCUGACACUCAGGCACGAAAGCGUGGGGAGCAAAAGGG
rnacentral:rRNA from 1 species